rnacentral:rRNA from 1 species
GACGAACGCUGGCGGCGUGCUUAACACAUGCAAGUCGAACGGAAAGGCCCUGCUUGUGUGGGGUGCUCGAGUGGCGAACGGGUGAGUAACACGUGAGUAACCUGCCCUUGACGUUGGGAUAACUUCAGGAAACUGGGGCUAAUACCUGAGAGGAGCUCCUGCUGCAUGGUGGGGGUUGGAAAGUUUCGGCGGUUGGGGAUGGACUCGCGGCUUAUCAGCUUGUUGGUGGGGGAGUGGCUUACCAAGGCUUUGACGGGUAGCCGGCCUGAGAGGGUGACCGGCGACAUUGCGACUGAGAUACGGCGCAGACUCCUACGGGAGGCAGCAGGGGGGAAUAUUGCACAAUGGGCGGACGCCUGAUGCAGCAACGCCGCGUGCGGGAUGACGGCCUUCGGGUUGUAAACCGCUUUCGGCUGUGACGAAGCGUGAGUGACGGUAAUGGGUAAAGAAGCACCGGCUAACUACGUG